UAUAAUUUUAUUAAUUGGCAUUGUAUUUUUGUUUUGUUGAACAAUAAACUUUUUCUUUAAAAUAAUAUUCUAACUUUGUAAUGCUUUAGUAUAAGAACAACAAUUAACAAAUGUAAGCAACUAAAAAAAAUAUGGUUAUGAGAAAAACCUUGAACUGUUAUUAUUUUUAAAACUGUUCACAUAAAUAUAAAAUGCAAUGAUGAAAUCAAAAAUGUAUAGUUUAAUUGAAAAAUAUUUGCUCUUGUUUCAAAUCCAUAAAAAUGAUCGAUGUUACCACUCCAUGUGACGGCUUGAUACCAACACCAUACAUUUUCUGUUUAAUUUACAGAAAAAACAGGCAGAAAUCAUGAUUUUUCACGAAGAACUGCAUAAUCAUUCAAAUCUUUUGUCCAAUAUUUGAUAUUGUCAAACAAAUUUGGAAGCUUCAUCUUCAGUAGUUCAGUCUACAACUACAAAUAAUAAAAGUACCUAGUUACUACAGUUUUAAAUGGAUUAUGGGAUAUAAGAAAUGCGACCGUUGGAAUCAGCUCUAAAACAAUAUAUUAUGUACCUAUGUUGAAUAUGAUUUGUGCUAAGAUAUAAUGUACCUACCAUAAAUGUACUAUAAAAAAAUAGUUAUAAGUUUUCAUAGUUUAAUUAUUUUAUUACCAUGCAGUCUAUGCUGGCAGAAAUUGUAAAGUACAUUAUUUAUUUGAUAUAUACUACAUGUAAAUUAUAUAAUUUGAAAUGUUGAGGUUAUGGAAUGAUUAUUAAUAAUUUUAAUCUGUUCAAUUUUUAAAAACUGUAAAAGAGUUUAUAUUAUUCAAAUUCAAUUCUAGAUUUUUAAGUCUUAGUAUAUUACCAAUUAUUGUAUACCUACAGUGUUUUUUUUUAUAUUUCAAUUAAUUUUGUUGAUGUUUUGUACUAUUAAUUGUUGAUAUACAUUAGUCAUUAACAAUUAUAACCAGAAAUGGUUUCAUAUGGAAAAAAUACCAAAAGAUUACAAGAUUACAGACAUACCAUAUUGCCGUCACAUAUUAUACUAAAGUUUCUCAUUAGCAAGUUACCUAGCUGUAUAAAGACAUUAUCUAUACAGUUUCAGAUAAUCAGAUCUGUUUAUUUUAACACCUAUCUUUAAUUGUAAAAAGUAUAAAAAUAAUUCAAAACUAAUAUUAUUUUACUUAUUAUUUGAAGUUAAUGUAAGAUUCUGUUUUAUAUAAGAAAGACCUAAACGUUGUUAUUUAUUUCUUGUGAACAUUUGUUGUUAAUAGUUGGUAUGUCUGCAAUCGUAUAACUCUUUUUUUAGGUUAAGCAAUUUUUUUCAUAUAAUUUUGUGAAUUAAUUAAUAAUCAUAAUGGUACUAUUGUGGGACAACA